GAGGCCUCGUCAGCACCCCUCCAGGCGUGGACUCUGUGUGUGACAGGAAAAGAAGAGUGAGUGGGUCCACCUAAUCAAGCAGAUACACCCCAGCAAUAUGUACUAGGGACCCUCUCCUGACCCACUGCUCUGGCUAUCAGUUGCUGUCUUGGUGCUAAGGAGGGCAAAAUGCCACAACUCAGGAGGACAGGGAAUUUUUCUGCAGGUCAAGGGUAAUAUGCAUUGAAUAUCCCAGCUUGAUUUCCAAUGGGGUUUUAUGUAAUGGCGAAGAAUUUUAUUGAGCAAAAUUAAACAGGAGUAAAAUCUAAGCCUUCAAGGAAGAUUAACCUCAGCUUCAAGAAAACUACAGGCAGCAACCAAACUAAGCUGCAGGACUGUACCAGGGCACUUGUAAUAAAAAUCAGAUUAUUAUAGUGGAUUAUCCACUGCAAAUGACCCAACAGCAAGUGUGGUGCCAUCUUGGGAAGU